rnacentral:lncRNA from 1 species
CGAGGCAAGUCUAAAUAUAUAAUGAUUAAUUAAUAGUAUAUAUGUGUAACAAUAUACUAAUAUACCUAUCCAUGUAUUAAGCUGUUAAUGGUUUCUACUCGAGCUAACUUCAAUCUCCUAAAUACGAAAUGAACAGGUGAUGGAUUUCUUGCGAAGAUUGGUGGAAUGGAAACAAAUGCAGCCAAGAAUGUGAAAGGAUAAUAUAAUAAACGAAUGACAAUGUUCGAAAUGCCAGUGGACAUAUUGGUGAAUGUAUAAUGAAUAUGUACAUGCCUAAUUAAUUUAUCUUGGAACGUUGUAAUUGGUAAAGGAUAGGGCAAUGUCUUAAUAUGCCCCCUUAGGUUAAUCUUAUUUUGUUUUCGUAAGAAAAAAAAAAGAUGAACAAGAAAAGAGGUGACAAAUUUGUUUCCAGCAGUCUAGUAAGUUGUAACUAUCUUUGUAAAAGCAAAUAUGUUAAUUAAGAAAG